rnacentral:lncRNA from 1 species
AUGCUCACCAUCAUGCUGCAUUGGGAUGUAGAAAAAGACAAAUCUAGGAUCCUCACACCUUGUUCCCCUCCUGUGUUCACUGCUGCCUUGCUGCAAAGCUGUAGGCGAUUCAUGACAGACAACCAAGCUUUUGCUGGAGGGGUAUGGGACUUUGGACCGGACACUUCAGCUGAAAACACUCCUACAUUUUGCUGUUUGCUGACAGAUCAGCUUACAGCUCACAGAUCAGCUUACUGCUGAAAGCGUGGAGCCUACAGUUCUUCUUGGCCAAGCGUGGCUCCACCCAGUCUGAAAGCUGC